rnacentral:rRNA from 1 species
GACGAACGCUGGCGGCGUGCUUAACACAUGCAAGUCGAACGGAAAGGCCCUGCUUUUGUGGGGUGCUCGAGUGGCGAAAGGGUGAGUAUCACGUGAGUAACCUGCCCUUGACUUUGGGAUAACUUCAGGAAACUGGGGCUAAUACCGGAUAGGAGCUCCUGCUGCAUGGUGGGGGUUGGAAAGUUUCGGCGGUUGGGGAUGGACUCGCGGCUUAUCAGCUUGUUGGUGGGGUAGUGGCUUACCAAGGCUUCGACGGGUAGCCGGCCUGAGAGGGUGACCGGCCACAUUGGGACUGAGAUACGGCCCAGACUCCUACGGGAGGCAGCAGUGGGGAAUAUUGCACAAUGGGCGGAAGCCUGAUGCAGCAACGCCGCGUGCGGGAUGACGGCCGUCGGGUUGUAAACCGCUUUCGCCUGUGACGAAGCGUGAGUGACGGUAAUGGGUAAAGAAGCACCGGCUAACUACGUG